UACGCACUCCGGCAGCUCCAGUCUGUCUCAACAGCCCAUAAUGCGUCCAGGGUGCGUAGCUGGCAGCAAAUGACACUGCCAUGCUCGGUUGUGCCUGCUACCACGUCGGCAACGGCCAGAGAGGAAUCAGCUGCGGCGAAGAACAGACAUGCUGGACCAACUGUAAAUCUUACGGAUGUUCCCUCUGGAGCGAACCGUGCAAGAACCUCAAGCCACCAUCCACUGCUAUACCAGGCUGUGAACACUGGAUACUGAGGAGCAGCUAUGAACUGCCGCUGCCUGCUGCGGGAAACCCGCAGCCUCAAUACGGGGAGAUGUGCGGCUGCUCCCUGGCUGCGAUUCGUGGCCUCAUGUGGCCCACUGUCAGGGAAGCCACCACGGACAUCGUGUGCCUCGUCGCCGCCGAAAGGGGCUAAACGACGUGAAAUGGAACGGGGAAGCAUUGUCCACGUUUCAACUGAGGCAUCCCAUCUUCUCGCAGUUGCUGCACGCUUUUCGGGGCCUCUCAACAGUCAUAAUCACGAGAAGUCUACUUAUCUACAAAUAUAGCUGGGAUUUUAUUGUUCUAUCAGUUCUACAACAAAACUGGUGAGGAGUGGUAGCUGCAGAGCAGAUGCAACGCUACGCUCUCCGCGGACACUGGCUUCCUGGAGCUCCUGAUGAACGUCCUGGACCAUCCCACCUGUCCACUGGAAGACCUGCCGCCAGAGACCAUGGAGCCGCCUAAGCAGAGCCGCGUGCAGCUGCGAAACGACGUGCCGCCGAGGUCUCCCAACAUCCCUGUGGCCAGCGACCUGGCGUGCACACCUCUGCCUCUCUUCCUGGAUCGCUGUCAGCUCGUUCAGCAUUUGUCAGGACGUCCCAUGUACUACGACACACAGUUUGCAUGAUGCUCGCUGCUAUUUAGACAGUCUUGCCAAGCAGUCGUGUCCGGAAUUGAAGGAUACGGAUGUCAUCUGUUCUGUUUCCAGAGCUAUCAUGUUUCUGAAGUGUCGCAAUUUGUUCUCUUGUAAAGUCUCCUGGAGGGUUACCUUUUCCAGAAAAAGAAGUAACUUACUGCCCGAAUUUGAUUGGAAAGAGGACAAACCAACAGAGAAAACAUGAGCCACAGAGCCAUGUUAGGCAGUGCCACCUCGAAAUACAAGCAUUUUAAAAUAAUGCACAGAUUGAAACUUUUCGAAAUCUCA